GACAGAGGUCCCGAGCGUUAGACGGAAUCACUGUGCUUAAAGCGUGUGUAGGCGGAUGGGUAAGUACCUUGUGAAAUCCCACGGCUCAACCGUGGAACCGCGGGGCAUACUGGCGACCUUGAGAGACCCAGGGGCGAGCGGAACAAGUGGUGGAGCGGUGAAAUGCGUAGAUAUCUGGAGGAACACCGGUGGCGAAGGCGGCGUUCUGGACUGCAACUGACACUGAGGAACGAAAGCCAGGGGAGCAAACGGG
rnacentral:rRNA from 1 species